rnacentral:tRNA from 1 species
GCGCCGGUGGCGUAAGGCGAACAUCGCUGCCCGGAAAGCAGAAGAUGCGGGUUCGAGUCCCGCCUGGCGCA